rnacentral:ncRNA from 1 species
CCCGCUAAGUUUAAGCAUAUAAUUAAGCAGAGGAAAAUAUACUUAAAAGGAUUCACCUAGUUACGGCGAGCGAACCGGGAAGAGCUCGGCAUGAAAAUCGAGUGGCAGCACCACCUGAAUUGUAGUCUGUAUAAGCGUCCUUAGCGGCAGAUUGGGCCCAAGUCCCCUAGAAGGGGGAGCCUGAGAGGGUGACAACCCUUUCAGACCGGGACCCUACCGCACCACGAGGCAUUGUUGGCAAGUUGGGUUGUUUGGGAAUGAAACCCUAAUCGGGUGGUAAAUUUUGUCCAAGGAUAAAUAUGGGCGAGAGACCAAUAGCAAACAAGUACCACGAGGGAAAGAUGAAAAGGAAUUUAAAAAUAGAGUUAAAGAGUGCUUGAAAUUGUCAGGAGGGAAGUGGAUGGAGGUCGACGAUGCGUCUCGGUCGGAUGCAGAAUGACUCAAGCUGGUCCAUCGCUCGACUCGAGGUGUGAACCAGCACAUGCCGUUGCAUCGGCACAAGCGCGGGUGGAGUAUUGCCUGUUAGUUUUUCGUUGUGGCGGUCGAGGAGCGGAGAAAUCAAGGGAUUCCAUGAACACUCAUUUAAAUGGUUACCUCCAAUGGUUACCUUCAACAUUGUUUAACAUGC